UACGAAGGGGGCUAGCGUUGCCCGGAAUCACUGGGCGUAAAGGGCGCGUAGGCGGCCAUUCAAGUCGGGGGUGAAAGCCCAGGGCUCAACCCUGGAAUUGCCUUCGAUACUGUUUGGCUAGAGACCGGAAGAGGUAAGUGGAACUGCGAGUGUAGAGGUGAAAUUCGUAGAUAUUCGCAAGAACACCAGUGGCGAAGGCGGCUUACUGGUCCGGUUCUGACGCUGAGGCGCGAAAGCGUGGGGAGCAAACAGG
rnacentral:rRNA from 1 species